UUCUGCGGUCGUACUCGCCGUUCUUCUUCAGAUUGUACCAGAAGACACCCGUGCCCGUUUUUGGUGUUACGACCACGUCACUGGUGUAGAAGGCUGUACUUCCGCCAGCUUUUACGUCGUUGAGCUGCGAGAGAACCAGCACAUCUUCCAAGAAGUGAAGAUAAUAAAUGAUUAGAUGUUUUCAAUACACCUACGUAAAGCAUAAAGGUAGCAAUGCGAUCCCCAGCCCUCGAGCAUAUCGGGUUAUCGUCACACUGCAUCGGAAAUUAAAAUAGAUUAACAGGAAAGCUAAUAAAACAUAUGGCACAAUUCCCAGAACUCCAAAUAUCGGGUAAAUAGUGUCCGAAACAUUAAGGUCUCCCAAAUAAGCUCAAGUGUCUGUACUGACCGUCGAGUUCACGUGUUUGGCGAAGACGUCGACGUGGGGAUUCAGAUGACCCCCUGUGCCGUAGUAACGGACCUGAAUGGGAGGAAAUGGAUUCUGUGAAUCAGUGAUAAUAAAAUGGAAAUGAUUC